rnacentral:antisense_RNA from 13 species
GGUAAUUUGAUGGAGAGAGAAAAAGUAGUUUGGUUGCUAUUGCUCUCAGCUUCUUUUAGCCACUUUUGUUUCUUAAAAGUAUAGAGCUUUGAAUAAUUGAAGAAAAGCACCUAUACCUGGCAAGAUUAUGUGAACACCUAAAAUUGUUGUCAUUUUAAUUUCUAUCUUACCA